rnacentral:rRNA from 1 species
UGGGGAAUAUUGCACAAUGGGCGAAAGCCUGAUGCAGCGACGCCGCGUGAGGGAUGACGGCCUUCGGGUUGUAAACCUCUUUCAGUAGGGACGAAGCGCAAGUGACGGUACCUGCAGAAGAAGCACCGGCUAACUACGUGCCAGCAGCCGCGGUAAUACGUAGGGUGCGAGCGUUGUCCGGAAUUACUGGGCGUAAAGAGCUCGUAGGCGGUUUGUCACGUCGUCUGUGAAAUCCUAGGGCUUAACCCUGGACGUGCAGGCGAUACGGGCUGACUUGAGUACUACAGGGGAGAAUGGAAUUUCUGGUGUAGCGGUGGAAUGCACAGAUAUCAGGAAGAACACCGAUGGCGAAGGCAGGUCUCUGGGUAGUAACUGACGCUGAGGAGCGAAAGCAUGGGUAGCGAACAGG